AGUGAACGCUGGCGGUAGGCCUAACACAUGCAAGUCGAACGGCAGCACAGUAAGAGCUUGCUCUUACGGGUGGCGAGUGGCGGACGGGUGAGGAAUACAUCGGAAUCUACUUUUUCGUGGGGGAUAACGUAGGGAAACUUACGCUAAUACCGCAUACGACCUACGGGUGAAAGCAGGGGAUCUUCGGACCUUGCGCGAUUGAAUGAGCCGAGGUCGGAUUAGCUAGUUGGCGAGGUAAAGGCCCACCAAGGCGACGAUCCGUAGCUGGUCUGAGAGGAUGAUCAGCCACACUGGAACUGAGACACGGUCCAGACUCCUACGGGAGGCAGCAGUGGGGAAUAUUGGACAAUGGGCGCAAGCCUGAUCCAGCCAUACCGCGUGGGUGAAGAAGGCCUUCGGGUUGUAAAGCCCUUUUGUUGGGAAAGAAAAGCAGCGGGUUAAUACCCCGCUGUUCUGACGGUACCCAAAGAAUAAGCACCGGCUAACUUCGUG
rnacentral:rRNA from 1 species